ACCUUGCCUCAUCUCUUUAAAAGCAGAAUAAGUGUAGCUAUAGCAACAGAGUAAAAUGUAUAUAUGCGCUAUGUGUCAUACAAACCAGCUGAAAUGCUAAAGUAAUUGGAUUUUAUACAUGUGAACUUUUUCUAACACAUUUUUUUUUAUAGAUGUGCAAGAAUGCAUCAAGAGGAUGAUGCUGUGCUAAGGUUUGCUGCAUUAAAUUGUAUGUUAGCUUUGAAGGUUUCUGAAAGAAUGACAAAAAUCACAAUGAUCAUCUGCAAGUGUCAAAAAUGAAGGCAGCAACCAAUCUCACACUCUCCGCUCCUCCAUAACCACCACAGCAUCAGUUCAGAAUUCGACCUGGUCCAGGAUUAUGGAUACCUUAGGAUCAUUUCUUCACAGGUCUUGGAUGGCAUCAAUGGGGCUGCAUCUCGAACCGACACAAAUACAAAAAAUACUUUGCUUCUUUAGGACUAAACCAGUUGCCAUAGUCAGCUGCGAUUUGCAUUCUGGGAUAAGUUUUUGGACUUCACCACAAUUAUGGCAGGUCGCAGAUUUUUACUUCUGUGUGUUGCACACAUGAGUUUCCCACACAUUCAUUCUGACCAAUCAAAAGGCAGUUCAGAAAAUUGAACAACUGGCCAACACCUGAUGUGGAUAUUGACACGUGACAACCUUUAUGGUUUGUUUCAACUGGUUCGGGUCAAAAUGGAACCAAAAUGGUGGGAAAAUGUUACAAUGCAUGAUUUCUAACCUUUGUCCAGAUAAAAAAAACCUACUAAAGGUGUAAAAGGCCACUUUAAAGAUACAUAUUAUUACCUAAAGGCUGCACUUCCUCUGUCAGCUGAGAAAAUUCAACCUUCCAAAGGAGCUGCUAAAACAGUUCUACACUUCCACCAUUAAAUCAGUCCUCUGCAAUUUAAUAACUGUAUGGUUUAGCUCAUCUACCAAAUCUGACCUCCAAAGACUACCUUGGAUAGUUCAAAUGGCUGAACUGCAGUGAAUCACUUGUACAACCCUCCCUACUCUCCAAGAACUGUACUUACCCAGAGUGAGUAGAAGGGCUGCCAAAAUUGCUCUGGAGCCCUCACAGCCAGCAUACUGCUUCUUUGAACUUUUACCUUCUGGUCGACGCUACAGAGCACUGCGCACCAAAACAGCCCGACACAGAAACAGUACACGCCAAACAGAAACUUUUGUUUCAGCUCCAACCCAUCUCUGGGAAACAUCCAUAUAGCUGUACAUACA